ACAAGUAUUAUUGAGUGAGAUAAUGGAAUUAACAAAGCUGGCACAGUCUCAGAGUUAUUAUUUCAGAUACCUUAAAAGCAUUCUCCGUUACUGGAUAUAUCACAUUUAUAGCUGCUUCACAAACCACUGCCACAUCACCAAUGUUUGCCUUCUAGAAGCAAAGUCCUUACUUAAGUGCAGAAGUCAAGAAAACCAAAUUCUGCAUAGCAAAAAUGUAAUUUUAUAUAUCAACAUAAAUAUAAACAUUUAAGGAAAAAAAUUACUUCAGAACACUUCUAUUAAUUGAAAACUGGAACAAUAGUUUUUCAUUAAAAAUUGUCUUCAAAUAAAAUUGACACUUGAGGAUGGGCAUUUUUUUUGUGUGUUUUGGUUAGCAAAACCAAGGUCAGUUAAGAAAAAAGUAUAUUAAAAAUGCUUUAAAUCAGAAAGAUCUAAACUCUAAUAAUAGUUGCAUUCUCUUAUAAGGAACAACUGGCACGUGGAUUGUACAGGGUCUGCUUGACUUGGGUUUGCAGUACCUCAGUUUAAGAGGAAAAAUUACUCUUCCAUUCAAUUCCAGGUUGCAGCUAGACUUAGAACUGAAAUGGCCUGUUAAGGCCAAGUCCCAACUCAGCCAUGUGAUUUUUAGCUCAUAACAGAGCUGCUCAGCAUAAAAUCCUCUUUGCUGGGAGUAUUUUUUCAAAGACACAUUAAAAGAAAAUGGGAUGUUUGUGUUAAAACUCUGUGGCUAUUCUAGGAAAAUAAUUGAGAUAAAUCCUCUGCUCAUGAAACAAGUGCACUGUUAACAGGAACUCCUUUCACUGGAUGGGCUUCUUAGUGAUAUUCCCCCCUUCCCCCCAAAAAUCACCAACGACACUGGAAAUCACCUUAUGGCUACUGCAGGGUAAAGACUGGCAUCUGGUUCUGUUCUGCAAUAUUGUUUUGAUAAGAUAAAAACUUGCAAUACUGUCAGGAAGCAGCAAGGGCAGCUGCUCUCCCAGGGAACAGGGAGCCAAGGGCAGUGUCACCAGGUCAGGUCCUGGCUGUCCCAGUGAGGAAGCAAGGCAGGACCAUUGACAGCAGCUGAUAUUCAACCAAGAGCUCAGACAAUUAGAGGAGUUUGUGGUGAUGAGGUAAAUCCAAGGUGAAGCUGGAAGUCUAUCUGCACGUCAGGAUCAGACCCAGUGAGUACAGCUGGAAUCAUGACCUCGGAGCAGGUUUGUGGUAAAAGUGAGGUCAAAGCCAUCAGCCCAUGGGUCAUGUUCAGAAUCAGUGGGGUCCAUGACCAUGGUUUUACUCAGGCAGGGACUAAGGAAGCUCCAGAACCUGUGGACAGAGGUUGGGGGAGACCACAGGUGAAGUUUUUGAGCUGUGAGGGCCCUGACAACUACAGAGUAGAGAACUGUCACAAAACUCAUGUCAUGUGAACCAUUCAAAAUUCUUUAGAGAUGCUAAGUUUUACCUUAUGAUGUUUGAAGACUUCCCAGAGAGAAAAGAGUUAUCCCAGAAUUGUCAUGUUCCCUGAAAAAGGUAUUAAGAGUUUUAUCAUUCCUGUAUAUUAUUUAAACCUGACUUACUGCUUGCAUUCAAACCCAAGUUACUAUAAAGACAGAUUUAUAAUUCAGCCUAUGCCUAGAACUCAAAAUUUAAAAAAAUUUAGGGUCAUCUAUUUACUAAAGUUUCACUACAACAACAACUGAGAAAAAAAAAGGCAAGUCUUAGCUUUGUCUAAGACUUGUUAUUCAUUUCAUAUAGAACAAACCUACUGACUGACAUGUAUAGGCACUUAUCUGAAGACAAUGAGCAGGUCCUCCUGCAGAAGCAUGUGAAUUUUAUUCUGUUCAUAGAGUUUCAAUUUGGACUCAUUCUAAGGUUAUUCACUUGUGAAAAAUUAUGGUAUGCAAGAGACUUUCUGCUUAUAGUGGAUUUUUAAGGCAGUUCAUAUCGGCUUAUUUUGUGUAAGUAAACAAGAACUGAGAAAUCUAAGGCUAGGUACAGGUCAGAUUUUGUCACUUAGGUUCUAUUCCUAAAAGGCCUCUUCUUGCAAAUGGUACCUCAUACAGAAUGCACAAAAGUGAAAGUUUUAGUCAAUUAAGUUUGUUUAAAUGGCAUUAUGGGGGAUAAGCCCCAACUGUUUCAGAAAGUGUUAUCCUAGUGUUCAGAGACCUUGUACUUAGGCAGUCAGCCAGAAUCUAUCACCAUGGAUUCACAACAAUCAAGGCCUUGACAAGUUUUAUGUCUAAAGAAAACCAGUUAGUCAAUUAAUGGUUAAAGACUUCAAAACAUCUUUUUGUUAGUAUGACACUGAUUGAAAAGAUAAAAGAAUAAGGAAAUCUUUUCAAUACUUUUCUGUUCUUUCCCCCAAAUCUUCUGAGGAGGAGGAACGACAAAAAAAAAAAAAAAAA
ensembl:lncRNA